GACGAACGCUGGCGGAGUGCUUAACACAUGCAAGUCGAACGGAGUGGCGAACGGGUGAGUAACACGUGGUUAAUCUGCAUUGCACUUCGGGAUAAGCUUUGGAAAAUGGGUAUAAUAGCGGAUAGUGCAAGAUGAGAUCGCGGCCUAUCAGCUUGUUGGUGGGGUAAUGGCCUCACAAGGCGUCGACGGGUAGCCGGCCUGAGAGGGUGUACGGCCACAUUGGGACUGAGAUACGGCCCAGACUCCUACGGGGGGCAGCCGUGGUGAAUAUUGCACAAUGGGCGGAAGCCUGAUGCAGCGACGCCGCGUGGGGGAUGAAGGCCUUCGGGUUGUAAACUCCUUUCGACAGGGACGCGGUACCUGUAUAAGAAGCACCGGCUAACUACGUGCCAGCAGCCGCGGUAAUAC
rnacentral:rRNA from 1 species